rnacentral:rRNA from 1 species
AUUGAACGCUGGCGGCAGGCCUAACACAUGCAAGUCGAACGGUAACAGGAAGAAGCUUGCUUCUUUGCUGACGAGUGGCGGACGGGUGAGUAAUGUCUGGGAAACUGCCUGAUGGAGGGGGAUAACUACUGGAAACGGUAACUAAUACCGCAUAACGUCGCAAGACCAAAGAGGGGGACCUUCGGGCCUCUUGCCAUCGGAUGUGCCCAGAUGGGAUUAGCUAGUAGGUGGGGUAACGGCUCACCUAGGCGACGAUCCCUAGCUGGUCUGAGAGGAUGACCAGCCACACUGGAACUGAGACACGGUCCAGACUCCUACGGGAGGCAGCAGUGGGGAAUAUUGCACAAUGGGCGCAAGCCUGAUGCAGCCAUGCCGCGUGUAUGAAGAAGGCCUUCGGGUUGUAAAGUACUUUCAGCGGGGAGGAAGGGAGUAAAGUUAAUACCUUGGCUCAUUGACGUUACCCGCAGAAGAAGCACCGGCUAACUCCGUG